rnacentral:rRNA from 1 species
AUUGAACGCUGGCGGCAUGCUUUACACAUGCAAGUCGGACGGCAGCACAGAGAAGCUUGCUUCUUGGGUGGCGAGUGGCGAACGGGUGAGUAACGUAUCGGAACGUACCGAGCAGUGGGGGAUAACUAAUCGAAAGAUUAGCUAAUACCGCAUAUUUUCUGAGGAAGAAAGCAGGGGACCAUUUGGCCUUGCGCUGUUUGAGCGGCCGAUAUCUGAUUAGCUAGUUGGUGGGGUAAAGGCCUACCAAGGCGACGAUCAGUAGCGGGUCUGAGAGGAUGAUCCGCCACACUGGGACUGAGACACGGCCCAGACUCCUACGGGAGGCAGCAGUGGGGAAUUUUGGACAAUGGGCGCAAGCCUGAUCCAGCCAUGCCGCGUGUCUGAAGAAGGCCUUCGGGUUAUAAAGGACUUUUGUCAGGGAAGAAAAGGAUAGGGUUAAUACCCCUGUCNGANGACGNU